GUGGGGAAUAUUGGACAAUGGGCGAAAGCCUGAUCCAGCCAUGCCGCGUGUGUGAAGAAGGUCUUCGGAUUGUAAAGCACUUUAAGUUGGGAGGAAGGGCAGUAAGUUAAUACCUUGCUGUUUUGACGUUACCGACAGAAUAAGCACCGGCUAACUUCGUGCCAGCAGCCGCGGUAAUACGAAGGGUGCAAGCGUUAAUCGGAAUUACUGGGCGUAAAGCGCGCGUAGGUGGUUUUGUAAGUUGGAUGUGAAAGCCCCGGGCUCAACCUGGGAACUGCAUCCAAAACUGGCGAGCUAGAGUACGGUAGAGGGUGGUGGAAUUUCCUGUGUAGCGGUGAAAUGCGUAGAUAUAGGAAGGAACACCAGUGGCGAAGGCGACUACCUGGACUGAUACUGACACUGAGGUGCGAAAGCGUGGGGAGCAAACAGGAUUAGAUACCCGAGUAGUCC
rnacentral:rRNA from 1 species